rnacentral:rRNA from 1 species
GCCUAAACAUGCAAGUCGAACGAGAUCUUCGGAUCUAGUGGCGCACGGGUGCGUAACGCGUGGGAAUCUGCCCUUGGGUUCGGAAUAACAGUUGGAAACGACUGCUAAUACCGGAUGAUGACGAAAGUCCAAAGAUUUAUCGCCCAGGGAUGAGCCCGCGUAGGAUUAGCUAGUUGGUGAGGUAAAGGCUCACCAAGGCGACGAUCCUUAGCUGGUCUGAGAGGAUGAUCAGCCACACUGGGACUGAGACACGGCCCAGACUCCUACGGGAGGCAGCAGUAGGGAAUAUUGGACAAUGGGGGCAACCCUGAUCCAGCAAUGCCGCGUGAGUGAUGAAGGCCUUAGGGUUGUAAAGCUCUUUUACCCGGGAUGAUAAUGACAGUACCGGGAGAAUAAGCUCCGGCUAACUCCGUGCCAGCAGCCGCGGUAAUACGGAGGGAGCUAGCGUUGUUCGGAAUUACUGGGCGUAAAGCGCACGUAGGCGGCGAUUUAAGUCAGAGGUGAAAGCCCGGGGCU